UACGAAGGGUGCAAACGUUGCUCGGAAUUAUUGGGCGUAAAGCGCACGUAGGCGGCAUUGCAAGUCGGAUGUGAAAUCUUAUGGCUUAACCAUAAAAGUGCAUCCGAAACUGCAGUGCUUGAGUACUUAAGAGGAUCGCGGAAUUCCCGGUGUAGAGGUGAAAUUCGUAGAUAUCGGGAGGAACACCAGUGGCGAAGGCGACUACCUGGCCUGUUCUUGACGCUGAGGCGCGAAAGCUGGGGGAGCAAACGGG
rnacentral:rRNA from 1 species